rnacentral:rRNA from 1 species
UACGGGGGGGGCAAGCGUUGUUCGGAAUUACUGGGCGUAAAGGGCUCGUAGGCGGCCAACUAAGUCAGACGUGAAACCCCUCGGCUUAACCGGGGAACUGCGUCUGAUACUGGAUGGCUUGAGUUUGGGAGAGGGAUGCGGAAUUCCAGGUGUAGCGGUGAAAUGCGUAGAUAUCUGGAGGAACACCGGUGGCGAAGGCGGGUCUCUGGGCCGAUACUGACGCUGAGGAGCGAAAGCGUGGGGAGCGAACAGG